CCGCCGCCGCACCGGCUGCUGUGUCAUCCCCCGCCCCGGGCCUUACCGAGCAGUGGGGCCGGGCGGUGUCAGACCCCCGCCGGGAGGCUCAUGGGCGCCGCGCUGAGUUACGCCGCAACAUUCAUCGCGAUAAAUGGAUCAUGUUAAUGAACAUCAACGGAAGAACCGCAGCCAUAAAUUAAUCAGAAGAGCUGGCCUCUGAAGAAACCUUAAUUCUACUUUGACGGCAAAUUCAGAUUCAGAAGAUCUCUCUCCCUGCUGUGCUUUAUUUUUGGCCGUAUCGUUUGCUGGGCAGGUUGCCAUGACAACCUUAUAUUCACCAGAGGGUGGCUAUAAUUGGGAGAGCACAUUGUUAAUUUAGCUCCAGGUUUGGUUUUGGUUUUUCUUUUUUUUUUUUUCUUUUUUUUUUUUUCUUUUUUUUUUUUUUUUUUUAUUUUGUCGUAUUUUAAGCAAAGGGGAACUGCCUGGAUUUUCGUAUUUUUAUCUAUGAGCAUACUACGGUUUAAUUAUUAAUCCGAGCACCAAUAGCAUCACUCCAGCUGCCAUGUGGAGCUCGCCGGGGCAGACAACAGCUCUGCCCGCAUCCCCUUUCCCUGGGUCAUCUCCUCCUCCAGCCCCCCGAGGCCCCAAGCUGAGAGCACCCAGGUUCAGGAUUUCCCAGGGAUGUUCCGGAUGUGUGAGAGCAGGGUCAAGGAAAGAAA